GCGCUCAACCACUGGGCCACAUGGGCUCCCCUGAAUUGGUUUUUCUUGAUUUGUUUUUCUUGUUUUCUGUUUGUUUUAAGGAGGCACUGGGAUUCGAACCUGGGCCCCCGUGUGGGAAGGAGGUGCUCAACCGCUUGCACCACACCCGCUCCCGCCCCCGCAGCAUCUGCCCACCGCUGUGAACCACGCCCAAGAAGCAAACCCUGAGAGGGACACGCAGUAGGGCGUUCCCUGUGGAGCGGAGGGGACAGCAGCUGGGCUGGAGCGGGGUGAGGGGGCUGAGCCGGGAUGGGCCCUGCGGUCAGUCGCGGGGUGCGGGCUGGCCCGGGAGGGCGGCGUGACGCACGAUCCUUCAGCGGAGGCCGUCCUGGAGGCGGCGUCCUGGCCACGCGUCACAGCCCUACCUCGAUGCCAGCGGCGCCAAGUCAGGCAGCGGGGAGCCAGGUAACACGUGUCCCUCCUGUGGGUGCGCGCCUGACGGAGGCUCUGCGCGGCGGCCGCUGGAGAGCAGGGCGCAGGACCACGUGGUAUUUAGGGAGGGGUGGGAUUCUUCGUUAGGACUCUCGGGAGAUCCUCACUGCAGGGGGGGGGGGCGGGAAUGGGUUUCUGUGGCCCCCAGAGGAAGACGGGUGCAAAGGUGGGCCCCUCUAGGGGAGCCUUCCCAGAGCGCGGCAGCCUCAGCCUGCCCGAGGGGCAGGAAAGCUCCUCUGGCUGGCUUGAGCUGGGGCCCAUGGGUGCCCGGUGUUCCCACUGCCGCCUCCCACCCCUCAGCCUCCCUCCCUGCCAGACCGGGUUCCACCUCCCGGCCCCCAGGGGCCUCGUGCCUCGGGGAGGGGCUGCGGAUCAGCAGGGUUUUGUAUGAGCUGCUAGUGAGAGUGUAAAUUGGUGCAGCCACUUUGGAAAAAGCUGUGACGUUACCUUGUAAAAUGGAAUGUUUGCAAACCCUAGGGCCAGCAUCUACUCUUAGGGAUUUGUCAGCAGAAACUCUUGCACCGGGGGAUGUGUACUGCAGGCACCGAGGGAGGGCCUGCUUCCCACGUGGGAGGUCCGGGGUUUUGUUCCCGUGCCUCCUGAAAAAAUGAAAAUGAAUGAAAAAAAGAAGGAGAGCCGUUGUGGCUCAGAGGUUGAGCACUGGCUUCCCACUUACAAAAGUCCUGAGCUCAGUCUUGACCCUGGUACCUCAAAACAAAACGAAACAACUCAAGCAUCCACUGACAGGAGAAUGGAUAAAUGGAUAAAUAAAGAACACUAUAGAAAUAAGAAGUACAGGAAGCAGCUCCUACUUCCAGAGUGGGGGAACCAAAGGCAGGCUCUGAGGAGGGGGUACCACCCAACCACACACAGCUAACUGUAGAAUAUAAAGAUCAAAAAAAGAAAAACCAAGCACUUGUAUAUUUCAGCAUAUGUACCUACGUGGCAAAACGUGGGUUUUUCAAUCAAGGGAACGAUAAACACAAAAUUCAGGAGAGUGAUUUCCUUUUACACAGGCAGGUGAGGGGUGGAUGAAAAGGAACACACCGGCAGAUGCAAGUUGCAGGUGCCGCUCUAGUUCUUACAUGACCAGUGGGUUGAUGAGUGUUGACCCUAUUUUGUUUCAUAACUAGCAUUUCGUUAAGUGUGCUUUGUGGCAACUAGCCUCUAAGGAGGAUCCCGAUGAAACUCACCUCCUAGAAUUCAUAUCCCUGCCCAUCUUGUCAAGGUUGACCUGUGUGAUCAAUAAAAUGUGCAAAGCGAUAAUGAGUCACCUCCAAGAUUAGGUUUUAAAAGACACUGGCUUCUCUUUCAGUUUCUCUGGCUCGCUCUCUUGGAGCAUUCGCUCUGGGGGAGGCCCCUGCCCUGUCUGAAGCAGCACUCUGGAGAGGGCCCUUGGCAAGAAACUGAGGGCUCCUGCUGACAGCCACACGCUGAGCUUGGAGGGGAUCCAACCGCAGCCCCAGCCAGCGUCCUGCAACUUCACACAGCACCCUGAGACUGAGCUGCUCCAAGAUUCCCCACCCUCAGAAACUGCGUGAGGUAAUAAAGCAUUGCUGUUUCAAGCUACUAAAGUUUGGGGGGUAAUUUGUUACACAGCAUUACAUAACCAAUACAUACUCUUGCACAUAAAUAGAAUAUUUGAAUUUUAGAAUGUAAAUGAGAAAAACUUCAGAGAAAAAGAGGGAAAGGAACCCGGGAGGCAGGCUGUGGCACAGCCACGACACCCUGGUAGAGAUGGCAGAGGAGAGGCCGCCUGUGUACAGGAGAGGAAAAAGCUGAGGAUCCCGGCAGGGAGACUGCAGGGCCAACACUGCUACGAGAUGUGGGGCUGAGGGAGGCUGGAACAGAAGAGGACAGGGAGGAGGCCUUCUGGGGAGGGAGAGGAAGGCAGGGGAGCAUCCUGCCUCCCCACAAACCAGCCCCUCUUUCCAGGUUUCCUGUGAGGCCAGGCCUUGAAAGCUGGUGUGAGGUACCUCUGGCCCAUGGAAACACAGUGACUUGCAGCCCCUGAGGACGUCGCACUUACCUAUGUCAGCGUGGGGGUAGUUUGUGUUGUGACUGAGGUGUGCAUGUGUGGAGGGGGUGGCAGCUGGGGUCGGAGUGAUGGGCCAGGUACACAGUAGCUAGCCCGUCCAAUGCCAAGGACAAGGACAGAGUUCUGAAAGCUGCAAGAGAAAAGCAAUGAGUUAGGUACAAGGUAGCCCCAAUUAGACUGAGGGCUGAUUUCGCAUCAGAAACCAGGGGGGCAAGAAGGCACUGAGUUGCAAUAGUUAAAGUGCUGAAGAAAAACAACUGUCAGCCAAGAAUUGUAUAGUUGGUGAAACUCUCUUUCAAAAAUGAGGGUGAGAGGAAGCCAUUCCCAGAUAAACAGAGCUGAGGGAGCUCAUCACCACUGGACC
rnacentral:lncRNA from 1 species